GGUGGAUUAAUUAAAGGGGGGGUGGAUUAAUUAGAGGGGGGUGGAUUAAUUAGACAGUAUGGUAUUUUGAUCCCCAGACAAGAUGAGUGCAAAGAGAAAGAGCUGUACAUACUGGUAACGUAAAUAAAUAAGCCCUACCCUGAAAAUAAGCCCUAGUGUGUUUUUUGUGACUAAAAUUAAUAUAAGACCUGGUCUUAUUUUCGGAGAAACACGGUAACAGCAAAUUAUUUUCACAAACCUAUUAAUAUGGAAUGUUUACGUAUUUUUUAUUUUCUGCAUCUACUUUGUUUUCUAUAAUUUUCUUCUGUUUCUUUUCUAGUUAUUCUGAACUGGUUAGAAGGAUAAUGAGGUGGUGUUUUGUCUCCAAGUGCCAGCCAUGCCUCUUUUUUAAUUUGGGGGGUUAAUAUUUGGAAAUGUCUCUAAUAAAGGUUUACUGUAUAUAGUACAUUUCUCACAUUCUAAAUUAAGUAAGAAGCUUGUUUUCUAUGUCACUGUUUUAAGAAGUCACACAGAUAAGGGAAUAUAAAGAGAAACAGAGAACAAUAUCCAAUAAUAAUCAUUGUCCUCACAUACAAGAUUUAAAAAAAAUACUGUAAAGGGGGCACUGCCGGUACUGGUUAAUUUUUCAUAAAAAGAUACUGUAAGACAAAAUAUGACUAAUUUGCAUAGGCAUCACUAGGGAGGGUCUGGGGGCUAAAUCCUUACUUUAGCCCCAGAUCUCUACAGUUGGUGGUGGGGACAGGAGGAUAUUGGCGGGGGCUUUUUCAAUUUUAUCCCGCUUAAUAUAAAAUAAAAAAUCUGUAAUAUAGUGGUCUGUUAGGAGAGGGUGGUAAAGAACAAAUCUUUGCUUCACACCCCUCUGUUAGUUAGGUAGUCUGUCAGGCUUACAUUAAUAUUGCUGAGAUCCAGCACACUGCUCAUGGGCAGAGAGGAGGGUUGUAACAUAAAAAGGUGGGGAUGUCAUACCAUGUCCCCCCUCUAUUAUUAUGGCCAUUUAUAUAGCGCCAACAGAUUCCGUAGUGCUUUACAAUUUAUUAUAAGAGGGGGGAUUUAACUAUAAAUAGGACAAUUUCAAGAAAAAUUACAGGAACGAAGAGGACCCUGCUCAAACGAGCUUACAGUGUGUCGUCAAGUUGUCCUUUGGGCUGAAGCCCCAGGUGUUUCUGGAACCUAUCAACACCCAUGCUACUUUGUCUUAUAUGCACAUCUAUUUUUGGCAGAAUGUGUCAAAAGGUAAUUCUCUUAUGCUUGCCACAUCUUCAAAAUCUCCUCAGCCAUGUUGAGUCUUCUUUCACAAUGCUCAGCAGAUGUUUAUGGCUUCUCGUGACUUCUCAUUGUGUAAGUGCAAUAUAAUCUGUGGAGGUUUCUGUAGGUCCAAGUGGUCUCAUCUUCCAAGAGUGGAAGACUGAGAUUAGGGCAAGGAGGGAUGAUUUUAGGGAAGUAUACCUCCCUUCCCACUCUGUCCCUGAGGGAGGGGGUGGGGGGGGGGGUUAGGAAUUCAAUAUUGAAUAAUAGUUGACCACCUCUUUUAAAAUGUAGGCCAAUGCUGUUAGAUGUUGAAGACAAAUCCCCAAUUUCAAAGCCACAUUCCUUGACCUAAAUUUGGCAAAAUGUUUUUUUAACAUGUCUUUGUUCAGGAACUGAGCCCCUUACUGUUAAGAAAUGACUGCUCAAGUGACUUUUAUCCAUUCUAUACAUGCUAUUAUAUACUAUUAAGGACAGUCACUAUAUAUGUGUGUGUGUUUUCACUUUCAAUGUAUCUUCAGUGGUAGAUGCAAACUUGAUUUUCAAAUCAAUACAAGCUUCUUUUCUUAAUUUUUUAAACAUACAAUUUCUUUUUAAUUGUGACCCUUAAAUCCCUUUAAGUAAUGAUGGCUUAGUAACCCUCUGCAGAAAACCCCAAAUUGUAGUUAAUACUUUUGGUUCCGGAAGUGUUCCUAAGCAUUGAAUAGUGAAUAAUUCUGGCUUUCAAGGGGUUAGGUGACAAAUUAUCCCAGUGAUGGCUGGCCUUUGGACUACCUUUUCACCAUGCUUGGCCUGCUAAUGGCUUUCUUAUACACUGAUGCCAUGUUUAAACACAAAGUAUAAAAGCUUUUACCUGGAUUGUACCCAAUAAGCUCACACGAAAACAGCACUUUACCAUGAAUUAAUAUUAACCUGUGCUCUGAUCAGCUCUACUUUGUGACAUUGUAAACCCAGAAUCUGUUAUAUGGGGAUUUGUUUUAAAACCUGUUUCACAAUAGAAUUGUUCAAGAUUUAAUAUACCUGAUAUGACUUGUUAAAAAAAAAAUAUGCCAAAACAAUACUCUGAAUCAGUUCAGUUGUACUAUUUCAUUCAUAAAUAAAACCAAUUUGAACAAUCAUGUAUUGUUCACUGGGCUACUUUGUGUUCUACUUGUUGUUAACUCAUUGAGUGCUGUCUGCUUAUGUUCCAAUUUGUAAAGCACAGAAAAAUCCUACAUUGUAUAUCUGUUUACACUUAAUAAAUGAUCCUUUGCUUUUGUAACAUAUUGGGUGUGUAUAUACAUAUUUUCUUCAUGGGUGAGUUUAAUAAAUUAAAUCUCUAUUUUUUUUUUUUUUUUUAACAUGGCAUAGUUCAAUCAGCAUGCAAACAUAAAUAAAAU
rnacentral:lncRNA from 1 species